rnacentral:rRNA from 1 species
UACGGGGGGGGCAAGCGUUGUUCGGAAUUACUGGGCGUAAAGGGCUCGUAGGCGGCCAACUAAGUCGGACGUGAAAGCCCUCGGCUUAACCGAGGAACUGCGUCCGAUACUGGAUGGCUUGAGGUUGGGAGAGGGAUGCGGAAUUCCAGGUGUAGCGGUGAAAUGCGUAGAUAUCUGGAGGAACACCGGUGGCGAAGGCGGCAUCCUGGACCAAUUCUGACGCUGAGUGAGCGAAAGCCAGGGGAGCAAAGCGGG